AGGGCACCACCAGGAGUGGAGCCUGCGGCUUAAUUUGACUCAACACGGGGAAACUCACCCGGCCCGGACACCGUAAGGAUUGACAGAUUGAUAGCUUUUUCAUGAUUCGGUGGAUGGUGGUGCAUGGCCGUUCUUAGUUCGCGGAGCGAUUUGUCUGGUUUAUUCCGAUAACGAGCGAGACUCUAGCCUACUAAAUAGUUCGCACAUUGUCUCUGUGUGUGCGACUUCUUAGAGGGAUUUUCGGUGUUCAGCCGCACGAAAUUGAGUAAUAACAGGCCUGGGAUGCCCUUAGAUGUCCGGGGCUGCCCCGCGCGCUACCCUGGCAAAAUCAGCUUCCUUGUCCUACCCCGAAAGGGGUUGGUAAACCCUUGAAAAUUUGCCGCGAUGGGAUUGUAAAUUUGCACUAUUUUUCCCCGAACGAGGAAUUCCAUCAAAUGCGAGUCAUCAACUCCCGUAGAUUACUUCCCUGUACUUUGUCCACCUUCGUCGCUCUCUGGUAUAUGAACCAUUUCCAGAAAA
rnacentral:rRNA from 1 species